ensembl:lncRNA
UGAUAAGGAAAUAUUCCUAUCCACAUUGUGCCUGAUCCUGAAGUACAUCAGAGAGAGAGGAUACACUGACAGAAGUAAAACAAUGCAGUGCAUGUAGCUGGAUAAAGCAGAUUUAUUCUUCUUCAUACCAAGGACAAGAGGGAUGUCCAACAAGUAAUUGUAUAUUUGAAGAAGAUAACUCAAUUUAACCCUUCCGGCUACAUUAUAGGAGAGGUGCCUUGGCUUAAGCAGAGCCUGUGUCCUUAAAACAAUUCCUCUUGGACACUACAGAACAACCUGAGAAGGCCAACCUGACUAAAAAGAACAGGAGCUACUUCCACCAUCUCACUGCUUCCUUUUAACAUGCCCUUUCUAAUGAGAUCCUGCAGCAAGCAGACAUUUGAUAACAGCCUAAGUAUAAUUGGGUGGAGGUUUGAAUUAUUUGUUCAGCUCAUUUUUCAAUAUGUACGCUGCCUGAAGUUAUGCAGUCAGGACCAUGUCCUGUGAAAUUUUUAUGCAAGAAAACUAUAUCUAGAAACUUGUGAAACACGGGAGAUGGUGUACCUUUAUUUCCCAGACCCUCUUAGCUCCAAAAUGAAUUAUCUGGCAGUGUUUGAAGCUGGCAUCAUCCCUGCAUAAGACAAGAUCAAGGCACUACAGUGAUUUAUGGCCACUAUGACUACUCCCUGGUUGCCCUUUUAUUUUGGCUAUACCUUCUGGAAAUCCUUUCCUUGUGAGUUUCUUUAGCUUUCAGUCAUCUUAAUCUGAAGGUGACUUAGCCUGUGUCUACCAGGGCUUUUUUUAAUAUGUAAAUAGCACUGGAUAAGAUGAAUCAGCAUUAAAUCAAAACCAGAAAUCAGAUCAAAUUUCUGGUUCACUCUCAUUGCCUACAGCAACACAUUCUAUGCAACCAGAAAGUGAUUUUCUGAGGGACUGCAGCACUUCAAUGCAUAAGUUAACUUAAGAAAAAUCAAUUAACUUCCUUGACUUUUAUCUUGCUCAGACUAUUUCCUACUCCCACAAGUGUCUUUUCGUUUCCAAAUGCGUAGAAAACCAGAACACAACUUAGUAUCAUCAGCUAAAAGAGAAGCCAAACAACACAUUUCAACAUGAUUUACCCCUUUACAUUUUCUUUUUCUAAGUUCAGUUUUGAAUGACAUACUGUUAGAAUUGUAGGUAUGUCUUUAAGGAAAUUUUUUAAGUAAUAAAAUUCUAGCAGUU